ensembl:misc_RNA Metazoa_SRP Metazoan signal recognition particle RNA
GCCGGGCAUGGUGGUGCAUGCCUGUAGUCCCAGCUACUGGAGAGGCUGGGGUAGGAGGAUCACUUGAGCCUAGGAGGUCAAGGCUGCAGUGAGUGAUGAUCACGCCACUGCACUCCAACCUAAGUGAUAGAGUGAGAUCCUGUCUCAA